rnacentral:ribozyme from 1 species
AGCCUGCAUAUAUACGUAAUAAAAGAUAAAAAUGUAAAAGAUAAAAGAUAAAAG